rnacentral:rRNA from 1 species
ACGCUCGACACCUACGGGAAGCAGCAGUGGGGAAUAUUGCACAAUGGGGGAAACCCUGAUGCAGCGACGCCGCGUGGAGGAAGAAGGUCUUCGGAUUGUAAACUCCUGUUGUUGGGGAAAAAGAGGAUGGUACCCAACAAGGAAGUGACGGCUAACUACGUGUCAGCAGCCGCGGUAAUCUGAGGCGGGCUGGCAAGGC